rnacentral:rRNA from 1 species
AGAGUUUGAUCCUGGCUCAGGACGAACGCUGGCGGCAUGCCUAACACAUGCAAGUCGAACGGAAUAAGUUUGGUUGUAGCGAUACUUUUGAACUUAUUUAGUGGCGAACGGGUGAGUAACACGUGAGCAACCUGCCUUUUACACAGGGAUAACAGCCGGAAACGGCUGCUAAUACCGGAUAAGACCACACCGAGGCAUCUCGGAGGGGUCAAAGCGAUUUAGCGGUAAAAGAUGGGCUCGCGUCCCAUUAGCUAGUUGGUGAGAUAACAGCCCACCAAGGCGACGAUGGGUAGCCGACUUGAGAGAGUGAUCGGCCACAUUGGAACUGAGACACGGUCCAGACUCCUUCGGGAGGCAGCAGUGGGGAAUAUUGGGCAAUGGAGGAAACUCUUACCCAGCAAUGCCGCGUGAAUGAAGAAGGCCUUCGGGUUGUAAAGUUCUUUUAUUGAUGAUAAAGAAAGUGAUAUUAGUCAAUGAAUAAGCCCCGGCUAACUAUGUGCCAGCAGCCGCGGUAAUACAUAGGGGGCGAGCGUUGUCCGGAAUGACUGGGCGUAAAGGGUGUGUAGGCGGUUAUGCAAGUUAAAAGUGAAAUCCCCGGGCUUAACUCGGGUGCUGCUUUUAAGACUGUAUGACUUGAGUGCAGUAGAGAAAAGUGGAAUUCCUAGUGUAGCGGUGGAAUGCGUAGAUAUUAGGAGGAACACCAGAGGCGAAGGCGACUUUUUGGACUGUAACUGACGCUGAGGCACGAAAGUGUGGGGAGCAAACAGGAUUAGAUACCCUGGUAGUCCACACUGUAAACGAUGGAUACUAGGUGUAGGGGGUAUAGACUCCCUCUGCGCUGUCGCAAACGCAAUAAGUAUCCCGCCUGGGGAGUACGACCGCAAGGUUGAAACUCAAAGGAAUUGACGGGGACCCGCACAAGCAGCGGAGCAUGUGGUUUAAUUCGAA